GUUCAUGAACUUGUCUACUCCUUAAGCUCGUUACCUUUAGCUUUUUGUGCAUGAUAGUGUUGUAUUAUGCGUUUACUCAUUCAAAUGCAUGUAAUGUUAGAAUUGGAUGAAGAAAUAUUAGCAACUUGUGAAAUUAAUAAAGAAAGUACAUUUAGUUUGUCAUUGUUGUUAAUAAAGAAAGUACUAAUAUGAUUUUUAAUUUUUACAUGGUAAAAGGUUUGAGGUGUCCCCAAAUUGAAAGGCCAUUUGAUGGAUGAUCCACCAUCUUUGCAUGUCUUUUUCUGACAAUGAAAGAUAAUUAGUUUGGUUAAAGGUUGCUCCUCAGUAAAAUUAAUAGGCCAGUCCAUAUAUUAGUUCACCUUUGAGCUAAAUGCUUGGUUUUGCUGGUCACAAAUGACUGGCCUGCAAAGAACCUGUUUCUUGUUCAAGUUAUUUUGGUUCUUAUCUUUUUCAAUACUCUUAUUAUAUCAUGCAUUUACAACUGACUUUUUAGUUCUGAUUUCCACUGCUGACCCAAAUUAACUAAGUUGCUGCUCCGUUAUUGUUUUCCUGCUUCUUUACUCAGAUCGAAAAAGCACUUGGCUGCAAAAGCAAUCCAUUGGCUUUCGUUAUUACAGCUGCUUGUAGCGGGUUCAUGUUGGGUUUGGUAUCUGCUGCUUUGCUAUAUCAGAGGCAAAUCAAAAGGAUUAUUAUUGAUGCAGUAGCAACACGUUUGGAGGUGCCAGUCAGGGGCGGAGUCAGCAUUUGGCUAGGGAGUUCAUCCAAAUCUCCUUCCAUGAAAAAAUAUAUCAUUCAUACAUGAUUAAAAUUAUUUUUUACAUAUCUAUCGAGAGCCUUGGAGUAACUGGUAAAGUUGUUGUCAUGUAACCAAGAGGUCACGGAUUCAAGCCUUGAAAAUAGCUUCUGGCAGAAAUGCAAGGUAAGACUGCGUACGAUACACCCUUAUGGUGAGACCUUUUCUCACGGGUUUAAGCCUUGGAAACAGUCUCUGACAGAAAUGCAAGGUAAGGCUGCGUACGCUAAACCCUUGUGAUGGGGUCCUUUCCCGAACACCGCAUAUAGCGAUAGCUUUAGUUUACUCCUUUAAAUACAGUAUAUACUAUUUGAGGUGCUUGUAUAUGUAUACUGGAAAUUAAAGUGCUCAUCCAACUAGAUAAAUCCAAAUUUAAAUGUCCUUUUAUGUAGGAUAACAUCUAUAUUCAAAUCUUACCAAUUAUGUUUGAUCACAUAAUGAGGUAAAAUCCAACAUUAGGGGCUAAGGAUAAGCUCUAAAAAGAAGAAGAUUGAAGAUUGCACUCAUACAUCAUGUGUUUUGGUGGACAGUUGGGCCAAAAAAAUGGGUGUUAUUUUUGGCAUGCAGUAGCAACACGUUUGGAGGUGCUUUCACAUGUUAUAUCAAAUUAUGGAAAGGCGAGUGCUGCAUCGAUACCCUUGGCACUGGAUGAAGCUGUGUUCGAAGUGGGAAAGUGCAGGCAGGCCAUGUCAUUGCUGCUGCCGGAUUUGGUGCAGGCCUUACGCGGGGAUCUACAAUACUCAGAUGGGGGUAAAUGGUGCUGUGGAGUUUGUCCGGUCUCACAUCUGGAUUCUGCAGUAGUCAAAUAGGGAACAAACCUCUCAACAUAGAUGGAAAGAAGAAAUGAUGAGGUUGCAUUUUCCUUGUGCUUUUUGUUUAAUAGUAGCUGAUUGUGGUGUAGGCUUCAAUGGCAGAAUCUUCUGAUUUUAUUUUGCCCCCAUUGAUGUCACUAUUUUUGAAGUGCAUUUUGGUCACACAUUCUGCUUAUGGCUUUAUAUGUUUUUUUCCAGAGUGACCUUCA